rnacentral:misc_RNA from 1 species
AAGUCGUAACAAGGUUUCCGUAGGUGAACCUGCGGAAGGAUCAUUAACACAUCCUUUUCAUAUAUCAACAUUGUCGCACUGGGAACUCAUCGGAAUAGAUGCCGCGGUACGCAACGGUUUGAUUCAUAUCAUGAGUAUGAUUGGCGUAUCAGGAUAGUGGCCGAUUCGUCGAGCUACAAGUCUAUUGCUUUGGGCAUACAGCGUCAGGCCUCGCUGGAACCAUUUUUUUUAAACCUGAAUUUUAUUUUGAAUUGGCUGGGAUUGAGAAGGACUUUCUUUCGAGAGUGUCUGCCUCUCUUGGCUUUUUGAUGGAGAAAUCCAUUAAAUAAACUAAAACACAACUCUUAACAGCGGAUAUCUCGGUUCUC